AAAUAGAAAAUAAAAGACGCAGAGGAAACUUGUUACUUCCUCUGUCUGGGAAAGAAAGUGAUAGAAACAUUAGUUAUUAAUUGUCUCCUUUACCUCUCCCUUGAACACUGUGCAACCUGCAGAUGUGGAAAAAGACCAAGUGAAGUUGUUACUUGAUAUCCUGAAAAUGUCAGAAACUCAAAGAUAAGGAAGAGAGAAUGUACUGGAAAGUGAUAUUGUCACGGUGAAAUGAAUCUUAGAGGACAUGAAAGAAAACUUAGGAUCCAUGUGACUUCUGAAAUAAUUUUGGAUAAUUGAGGCAAGAACUUAGAAGAAAAAAAUUAUACAAUUCACAUGACAUUUUAAUACAGCC